UGUUGCCCAGGCUGGAGUGCAGUGGCGUCAUCACAGUAGCCUCAAACUCCCAGACCCAAAGGAUCCUCUCACCUCAGCCUCCCAAGUAGCUGGGACUACAGGGUCUAUAAUAAUGUUCUGCUUACAACAGAUUUUCAAUCAAUGUUGCAUAAAGGUAAGGAAAGCUGAAUGCAGGAACUGAAAGAGGGUAAUCCAUGUAAAGUUACAUGGCAGAAUGCCUGGCACGCAGGAGCAUGAGUUAUUUUUAUCUGAUACGUCUAAAUUAUAAGGGGCUUACUUAGUCCGAAGAGUCUAACAUUAGAAGGAUAACCAGAUGGAGUGGGAGUCUU
rnacentral:lncRNA from 1 species